rnacentral:rRNA from 1 species
CUCUUGGUCAUUUAGAGGAAGUAAAAGUCGUAACAAGGUUUCCGUAGGUGAACCUGCGGAAGGAUCAUUACACAUUCGGGGCGCUUCGGCGCUCCUUAUACACCCACCCUCUGCCUACGUGUACCUCUAUAGCUUCCUCGGCGGGCUCGCCCGCCGCCAGGAACCCACGAAACCCCUUGCAUUAUACGCGAAAACUUCUGAUAACAAACCUAAAUUAUCACAACUUUCAACAAUGGAUCUCUUGGUUCUGGCAUCGAUGAAGAACGCAGCGAAAUGCGAUAAGUAGUGUGAAUUGCAGAAUUCAGUGAAUCAUCGAAUCUUUGAACGCACAUUGCGGCCAUAGGUAUUCCUUUGGCCAUGCCUGUUCGAGCGUCAUUUACACCCUCAAGCCUAGCUUGGUGUUGGGCGUCUGUCCCGCCGUUCUCGCGCGCGGACUCGCCUCAAAGUCAUUGGCGGCGGUCGUGCCGGCCCCCUCGCGCAGCACAUUUGCGCUUCUCGGAGGCCCGGCGGAUCCGCGCUCCAGCAAGACCUUUCACGACUUGACCUCGGAUCAGGUAGGGAUACCCGCUGAACUUAAGCAUAUCAAUAAGCGGAGGA